CUACGGGUCGCAGCAGUCGAGAAUUUUUCUCAAUGGGGGAAACCCUGAAGGAGCGACGCCGCGUGGGGGAUGAAGGGCUUCGGCUCGUAAACCCCUGUCAUUUGUGAGCAAGUGUUAUUGUUUAAGAGAUGAUGACAUUGAUAGUAGCAAAAGAGGAAGGGACGGCUAACUCUGUGCCAGCAGCCGCGGUAAUACAGAGGUCCCAAGCGUUGUUCGGAAUCACUGGGCGUAAAGGGUGCGUAGGCGGUAUGGUAAGACUUGGGUGAAAUCUCCAUGCUUAACGUGGAGGGAGCCUGGGAGACUGCCGUGCUAGAGGAUUGGAAGGGAGACUGGAAUUCUUGGAGUAGCAGUGAGAUGCGUAGAUAUCAAGAGGAACACCAGUGGCGGAGGCGAGUCUCUGGACAAGACCUGACGCUGAGGCACGAAGGCCAGGGGAUCAAACGGGAUUAGAUACCCUAGUAGUC
rnacentral:rRNA from 1 species